AAUGUGCUUUUUGAAAGUGGAGCCAAAUGUCCAAGAGGUAGACACUGAAAUGAUGAAAAUAAAGCACUAUUGAAAAGAUAUGAACUUCAAUAUUAAAACAGUUGGAGGAAGACCAUGGAGAUUCACAAUGUUGUACUGGGUCACUGAUACUCAUUUUUGUUUUCUUCAGGAGACCAGGAUACAUAACUUUCCAGGCACGGGCAGCAGUGAUGUCUUCUUUGUCCUCAGACUCAAUAUCAUUCUGAGACCACCUCAGCAAUCAGCUGCCAAUUAACAAUGAGCUGCAAGUGAUAAAGAAACCAGCAACUCACCGUGCAACUUGGACCCUUUUACUCCUGUGGCAAUGUUUUCGGCACCAGAAGUAAUCCUGGGUGUAGCGUGAACAGAUUCUCCACCAUUGCAUUAAAGCCUUCCUGGAGUGGAGGUGGAUAAGGAAGAACUGUUUGCAUCUGAAAAGCCUUUGUGAAGGUAUUUUGUUUACAAUAGACUAGGUGGCUU